rnacentral:rRNA from 1 species
GCCCGCUACAGAAACUUAAAGGAAGUUGACGGGGCCCGCACAAGCGGUGGAGCAUGUGGUUUAAUUCGAUGAUACGCGAGGAACCUUACCUGGGCUCGAACGUAAGAUGACUGUAGGUGAAAGCUUACAUCUCUUCGGAGCAUUUUACGAGGUGCUGCAUGGUUGUCGUCAGCUCGUGCCGUGAGGUGUCGGGUUAAGUCCCAUAACGAGCGCAACCCCUACCUUUAGUUGCCAUCAGGUUAAGCUAGGGACUCUAAAGGAACUGCCUACGCAAGUAGUGAGGAAGCGGGGAUGACGUCAAAUCAGCACGGCCCUUACGUCCAGGGCUACACACGUGCUACAAUGGCCGAUACAGAGGGCAGCUACCUGGUGACAGGAUGCAAAUCUCCAAAGUCGGUCUCAGUUCGGAUCGGAGUCUGCAACCCGACUCCGUGAAGUUGGAUUCGCUAGUAAUCGCGCAUCAGCCAUGGCGCGGUGAAUACGUUCCCGGGCCUU